AGCUUUGCGCAGUGGCAGUAUUGUAGCCAAUGAGGUUUAUCUGAGGCGCGAUUAUUGCUAAUUGAAAACUUUUCCCAAUACCCCGCCAUGACGACUUGCAGUGAAUACUCUGUUCUCAUGAGUGUCAGGAAAUAAUUUUUUUUG
ensembl:snRNA U4 U4 spliceosomal RNA